ACUGCUUCUCAACCUUUUGGGUAAGAUCAUGUGUACUGUUUGAUAUCUGUUCUUAUCAGUUUAUUACCUGAUAUGUCCUUCAACUGUGGAAUAUACGUACAGGGAGGCAGACUGAACCCAG
rnacentral:snRNA from 1 species